CCCAGGCGGCUUUCCCAGGGCCACCACAAGGACAGUCAUCUAACUUGCCCCCAAGUGAUUUGGGCCAACCCAUGGCCACUGCAGAAGUGACUGACAGCGUGUUGUAGAAAUCCCACCACACCAAAAGCGGGGGCGGAAGAGUUCCCCACUCCCUGAUAGUGGGCUGCUGGCUAGAGAAGGCUGUGGCCCUGACAGCCUGACAUUCUGCUGCCCCCAAAGCAUGGGGGCAAGACACUGUCCCCUGAGCCUGUGACCUGCUGCAUCCUCACCUCCUGGGUGGGGGUCCAAGCCACGUUCCCUCUCUGAAGAUAACAACAAUUGCCCACAGCCUGGACCGCAUGUUUGCAGUGGGUCAUGGAGUUUCUGAACAGCAUGGCCUAGUGGACAGAAUCGGAACACAAGGUGUCUUGAGGUGAAGUCUGUGGAGCCUCCACUAUGUGUGCAGGAGAAAAAAAAACAAUCAGUAUGGACAAGACUUUCAUGACUUGCCCUGGACCAAAGAUUAAAAACAACCUGGACAGAGGUCUUUGUUGAAGCCAGCCUGAACAAUGGCAGAAAUGUCCUUUCUAAUGACAUCACUAUGAAGAGCACCACCUGUG
rnacentral:lncRNA from 1 species